ensembl:snRNA U6 U6 spliceosomal RNA
GUGCUCGCUUCAGCAGCACAUGUACUAAAAUUGGAACGAUACAGAGAAGAUUAGCAUCGCCCCUGCACAAGAAUGACACGCAAAUUCGUGAAGUGUUCCAUAUUUUU